UAGGGAAUCUUCCGCAAUGGGCGAAAGCCUGACGGAGCAACGCCGCGUGAGUGAUGAAGGUCUUCGGAUCGUAAAACUCUGUUAUUAGGGAAGAACAAAUGUGUAAGUAACUAUGCACGUCUUGACGGUACCUAAUCAGAAAGCCACGGCUAACUACGUGCCAGCAGCCGCGGUAAUACGUAGGUGGCAAGCGUUAUCCGGAAUUAUUGGGCGUAAAGCGCGCGUAGGCGGUUUUUUAAGUCUGAUGUGAAAGCCCACGGCUCAACCGUGGAGGGUCAUUGGAAACUGGAAAACUUGAGUGCAGAAGAGGAAAGUGGAAUUCCAUGUGUAGCGGUGAAAUGCGUAGAUAUAUGGAGGAACACCAGUGGCGAAGGCGACUCUCUGGUCUGUAACUGACGCUGAGGCUCGAAAGCGUGGGGAGCGAACAGG
rnacentral:rRNA from 1 species